rnacentral:rRNA from 1 species
AUUGAACGUUGGCGGCAGGCCUAACACAUGCAAGUCGAGCGGGGUUUUCGGACCUAGCGGCGGACGGGUGAGUAAUGCGUAGGAAGCUACCCGAUAGAGGGGGAUACCAGUUGGAAACGACUGUUAAUACCGCAUAAUGUCUACGGACCAAAGUGUGGGACCUUCGGGCCACAUGCUAUCGGAUGCGCCUACGUGGGAUUAGCUAGUUGGUGAGGUAAUGGCUCACCAAGGCGACGAUCCCUAGCUGGUUUGAGAGGAUGAUCAGCCACACUGGAACUGAGACACGGUCCAGACUCCUACGGGAGGCAGCAGUGGGGAAUAUUGGACAAUGGGCGCAAGCCUGAUCCAGCCAUGCCGCGUGUGUGAAGAAGGCCUUCGGGUUGUAAAGCACUUUCAGUAGGGAGGAAGCGUUGUGUGUUAAUAGUACACAGCGUUGACGGUACCUGCAGAAAAAGCACCGGCUAACUACGUGCCAGCCGCCGCCGUAACAC